rnacentral:ncRNA from 2 species
CAUUGUAAACAUGGGAGCUGCAACAGCGGCUGAGAGUGAAGCGGAUGCUUCAGACCAUUGAACCUGAUCUGGGUAAUGCCAGCGUAGGAAACAUACAUUAGUAAUGU